GACGAACGCUGGCGGCGUGCUUAACACAUGCAAGUCGAGCGGUAAGGCCCUUUCGGGGGUACACGAGCGGCGAACGGGUGAGUAACACGUGGGUGACCUGCCUUUAGCUCUGGGAUAAGCCUGGGAAACUGGGUCUAAUACCGGAUAUGACCCUAUGGCGCAUGUUGUGGGGUGGAAAGCCUUGUGCGGCUAGGGAUGGGCCCGCGCCUAUCAGCUUGUUGGUGGGGUGAUGGCCACCAAGGCGACGA
rnacentral:rRNA from 1 species